UACGUAGGGGGGCGAGCGUUUGUCCGGAUUUAUUGGGCGUAAAGAGCUCGUAGGCGGUUUGGCAAGUCGGGUGUGAAAACUCCGGCUCAACUCGGAGACGCCACUCGAUACUGCUAUGACUCGAGUCCGGUAGGGGAGUGCGGAAUUCCUGGUGUAGCGGUGAAAUGCGCAGAUAUCAGGAGGAACACCGGUGGCGAAGGCGGCACUCUGGGCCGGUACUGACGCUGAGGAGCGAAAGCGUGGGGAGCGAACAGG
rnacentral:rRNA from 1 species